rnacentral:ncRNA from 1 species
GACAAACCGGAGGAAGGUGGGGAUGACGUCAAGUCAUCAUGGCCCUUACGACCUGGGCUACACACGUGCUACAAUGGGCGGUACAAAGGGUUGCCAAACCGCGAGGUGGAGCUAAUCCCGUAAAACCGUUCGUAGUCCGGAUUGGAGUCUGCAACUCGACUCCAUGAAGUCGGAAUCGCUAGUAAUCGUAAAUCAGAACGUUACGGUGAAUACGUUCCCGGGCCUUGUACACACCGCCCGUCACACCAUGGGAGUGGGUUGCAAAAGAAGUAGCUAGUCUAACCGCAAGGAGGACGGUUACCACUUUGUGAUUCAUGACUGGGGUGAAGUCGUAACAAGGUAGCCCUAGGGGAACCUGGGGCUGGAUCACCUCCUUA